GAGAUAUGAUGAGUGGUCAAUACUCGCACCAUGCGAGAAGGGUGUUCAGGCUCAGCCUGGUUACGACAAUUUGGACGCUCUCAAUUUUACCAAUCUGAUCUC